rnacentral:rRNA from 1 species
CUACGUGCCAGCAGCCGCGGUAAUACGUAGGGAGCGAGCGUUAUCCGGAUUUAUUGGGUGUAAAGGGUGCGUAGACGGAAAUGCAAGUUAGUUGUGAAAUACCUCGGCUUAACUGGGGAACUGCAACUAAAACUAUAUUUCUUGAGUAUCGGAGGGGUUUGUGGAAUUCCUAGUGUAGCGGUGAAAUGCGUAGAUAUUAGGAAGAACACCGGUGGCGAAGGCGACAAACUGGACGAUAACUGACGUUGAGGCACGAAAGUGUGGGGAGCAAACAGGAUUAGAUACCCUGGUAGUCCACACCGUAAACGAUGGAUACUAGGUGUUGGCAAUGAAUAAUUGUCGGUGCCGGCGCUAACGCAAUAAGUAUCCCACCUGGGGAGUACGACCGCAAGGUUGAAACUCAAAGGAAUUGACGGGGGCCCGCACAAGCGGAGGAACAUGUGGUUUAAUUCGAUGAUACGCGAGGAACCUUACCCGGGCUUGAACUAACGGUGACGAAUCUAGAGAUAG